rnacentral:rRNA from 1 species
AGAUUGAACGCUGGCGGCAUGCCUUACACAUGCAAGUCGAACGGUAGAGUAGCAAUACUUGAGAGUGGCGAACGGGUGAGUAAUAUAUCGGAACGUGCCCAGUCGUGGGGGAUAACGUAGAGAAAUUUACGCUAAUACCGCAUACGAUCUAAGGAUGAAAGCGGGGGACCGUAAGGCCUCGCGCGAUUGGAGCGGCUGAUAUCAGAUUAGGUUGUUGGUGAGGUAAAGCUCACCAAGCCGACGAUCUGUAGCUGGUUUGAGAGAACGACCAGCCACACUGGGACUGAGACACGGCCCAGACUCCUACGGGAGCAGCAGUGGGAAUUUGGACAUGGGCGAAAGCCUGAUCCAGCAAUGCCGCGUGCAGGAAGAAGGCC